CUCUCUUCAACGUUCGUACAGUCACUCUAUCUUGCUUACGCCUCGCCCAAGAUGUAUUUCCGCAACCUAACGCCAUAGCUGCGAUCUUCUUUUGUCCGUGACCAUUUUGAUCUCCACAUCGUAGGAAAGAUCUUCAAGAUCGUCAACGCCGAAAAGGUCCGUAUUUAUACAACAGAUCUUGUUUGUAUAAAUCGCGCUUCGUCACCGACGGUCAAAUAGCAAUCAGCUCUUAGAAGAAACUUAGGAAGUGUUAUUUUUAUUUCAUUUGGUUGAUCCAAGAAAAGUCAUCUUCGAGCAGCAAUGGCCGAAAUGGAGGACACCCACUUCGAAGCCGGAGAUUCCGGCGCAUCAGCAACUUUCCCAAUGCAGUGUUCAGCACUGCGUAAAAAUGGUCACGUAAUGCUUAAGGGACGUCCAUGCAAGAUUGUCGAAAUGUCCACCUCCAAGACUGGUAAACAUGGACACGCCAAGGUACAUCUGGUCGGUAUCGACAUCUUUUCCGGCAAAAAAUACGAAGAUAUUUGCCCAUCCACUCACAACAUGGACGUACCACAUGUUAAGCGCGAAGACUACCAGCUCACUGACAUCGAUGAUGGCUUUUUAGUUCUCCUGAAUGACAACGGCGAUUUACGUGAAGAUCUAAAGAUUCCAGAUGGUGACUUAGGAACCCAGCUACGCGCUGAAUUUGACGGUGGCAAGGAAUUAGUUUGUACCGUUCUUAAAUCAUGCGGCGAAGAAACUGUGAUUGCCAUCAAGAACAACACAGCUGCUGAUAAAAACUAAUACCUCGCCCGUUGCUUACUACAACAUCCUGCGAAUUGCAAGCCCACAACACACAGUUAAGAGUAAUCAAAAUACAGAAAAGUUCAGCAAAAUCCAACUACUAUUUACUACUAUUGAGUUACAUAACAAAAAAUUUGCGCAGUCAAGACAGAGGAACCUAUUUCAGAAAAAAGAUGUUCCUCCACUUCUAUUAACAACUUGAGAAACAAAACCAAACAAAUGAUCAGAUUCAUUAACAGCAAGAACACGAACACAAACACAUAGUUACAACUCUUAGUAUACAGCUAUUAAUGCAGAUUAAAGGAAAAUCAAUAUUAGGAUAAUACUUUCUGGUAAAAGUAAUCGAACGAGGUGGAAAGAAAGACCCAUUACGUAGCAACAAAAAUGCACACUCAAAAACAAAAAAGCGGCUUUCACGAAACGAGAGACACAACCAAUCCAUGCCGUGUGCAGAGAAUGAGAGAGAGAGAGUUACAGACAGAAAGAGAAGAGCGUGUUCAGCAAGAGAGAAAGUUCCAUUUUUUGUAAACUGCUAAAACAAAAAAACCAACGCCUGAAAGGUAAAAAUCGAAACAUUAUUAUAAUAAAUUUACAGAAAAACAAAAACCAAUAUAAUAUAAUAAAAAUAUUAUAAUAAUUUAAUGCAAACAAGAAACAAAAUCAAUAUUUGAAGAAAACUAUCCGUAACAAACAGACACACACGACAGAUAAAAUAGGUUCAGAAGCAAACAAAUGGUUGAAAAAGAAACAUCUAAUUCCAAAAGCAAGCAAAAUUUAACAGAAUGCUAUGUUGAAUAAAAUAUUUAAUUUUCUAACAAAAAAGAAAACUACGUUAUAAAAACAAAAUAAUUGGCUUAUUUCGAACUAAAGAAAGCUCUUGUUGAAGACACUCGAUACAGAUAAAUUGUCAUUGAACAACGCAUGUUAACCAUCGCUGCUACAGGAUGAUGAUAUCCUACUACCGGCCAUUGGUUUAGGACUAACAUUCAUCACUCACCUUCUUCAGCAGAUCCAUUCUAUCCCGACUCACUCGCACCUGCAGAAGCAGAGAAGUGUGGUCAUCCGAUGCCAAAUGCACGAUCACCAGGAAAAUAAUAGAAACAGUCGAACAUCGAAGGUGCACGGGCAGCAUGCAAAAGGUAUGUCAAAAUCUUCCAAAUCAGCAUAAUCCCAAUGAAAUGAGCGCUACGAAGCCUAGAGUCAUGAACACGACUGAAUUCUCAAUAUAUAAAAAGAUUCAAGAUUGGUGGACAAGGCCGCUACUAUGACUGCGACGAAACAAGUGAAUUAGGAAAAAAUAGUUGAAAAGGGAAACAAAGAUGACUAUUAACUAAUAAAAAAACAAGAAAAAUAUAAAAAACUGUAAUAGGAUAACUAAAGAAAUUAAUACUGAAUGUGACAACAACAAAACAAAACUGUGUUGAAUGUUAUUAUAUACUGGAAGCAAUCUUUUCUACAAUGCUAUUGGUUAGUGAAAACUGAGAUUUAGGUCAAAGUUUAGUUUGCUUCUUUUUCGCAUUUGCACUAUGUAUAAUUCAACGUAUUACCCCAAAAAAGAAAUCAUCGAUUUUCUCUUGAAAUUUUAUCUCCUGCCAAAAUUUCUUUCACACAGUCGUGUUUCACUUAGAAAAUUCUCCAACACAACUGAAACAAAGUUCGAUUCUUUUUCAGCAAGCACGCAAAUUAGUUUGGUCGUAUUGUCGACUGUUCAAAUUUUAAACGUACAUUUGAGUUGGCAUUUAUUUAGAGUAGUUUCAGUUUAGAUUAAAACCAGGGCUAAAACAAAAGUUAGCCAUAUAACAAAAUGCAAACAAAUACUACAGAUAGAAUAUAUUACCCGGCUGCUGCUUAUUUUUGUAAAAGCAUAGAUCGAAGAUGCUAAAUAGAAGCACAUUAACGCAUGGACAUGACAGUCAGUUGUUGUAACACGAAAUGAAAACAAAUCCCAAACAAAAAAAAUUUGUCGAUGCAAACGCGAAAAGGUGAAAUAAAAUCGGAAACAGAAAAAUUUAAACCUGAAA